UUCUCUCUCUCUUCCUCAGCCGCACGGCUAAUUCUCUCUUCUCUCUCCUUCCACUUCUCUUUGCCAUCGUUGGAGGCCACUAUUUUCAGUCACCAAUGCACGACACCGACACCACCAAUCGAACCAGCUAGGAGCUCAAUCCGAUCAAAACCCAAGCCCAGCACCGCCGUGCACCCACUCCUGCCUCCGUACGCGAUCCUCCAAGCUGCUACUCCCUAGCCUUCGUCAGAUUUCGGUUGCCAUCUUGCAACACCUCUGCCAUCGCUUUGAUUUAUUUGAGUACUGAAGGCUGAAGCAGAGGAGAACGGUUAUGAAUUCGUGCUUUUCUUUCUGAGCAUCUUGUGCUUGAAAUUAUUUAAGUACUUGAAGAUUACUACUCUUCUAGCUUGCUAGGCCUGAGGCGUUUGGUUUCAUCGUUGCCUGGAGAAUCGGCCAUUGAUCAAGGGAGGCUUUGCUCGGAAACCGAGGCAUUGUAUCGAAGUAUCGGACACAAGUUUUGUCAAAUAUAAUACAAAUUUUGAAACAUAUGGGACGAGUCUGAAGGAUCAACAAAUCUGUUCAUCAUCUCAACUUGACAGAAAGCUAAAGAUGCAGAGAAUGAGAAAGUACCAUUGAUGAGGUCUGCUACUGGAAGCUGUGCAGAUGUAGAGCCAGUUCCUGCUACAAAUCCUCUUGAAUCCUCCCUGCAUUGCCUCAAGCUUCAGUUAGUUGUGGUUAAACUGUACCAUCAAUUCAUAAUGGAAUUUUCUGGAUGAAUAUUGUGUUGAUGUUAUUGGAAUGAAUACUGCUAAUGGAAUAUUGUAGAUCUUGUUGGAAUUAAUGGAAACCUUUUGGUAUCAAUAUUGGAUGU